AGCAGCCGCGGUAAUUCCAGCUCCAAUAGCGUAUAUUAAAGUUGCUGCAGUUAAAAAGCUCGUAGUUGAAUUUCGGGACCAUCAUGUCGGUCGUGCCUCGGUACGUACUGGCAUUGUUGGUUUCUACCUUCUGACGAACCAUGAUGUCAUUUAUUUGGUGUCGUGGGAAAUCAGGACUGUUACUUUGAAAAAAUUAGAGUGUUUAAAGCAGGCUCACGCUUGAAUACAUUAGCAUGGAAUAAUGAAAUAGGACGUUUGAUUCUAUUUUGUUGGUUUCUAGGAUCGACGUAAUGAUUAAUAGGGAUAGUUGGGGGCAUUAGUAUUCAAUUGUCAGAGGUGAAAUUCUUGGAUUUAUUGAAGACUAACUACUGCGAAAGCAUUUGCCAAGGAUGUUUCAUUAAUCAAGAACGAAAGUUAGGGGAUCGAAGACGAUCAGAUACCGUCGUAGUCUUAACCAUAAACUAUGCCGACUAGGGAUCGGAUGAUGUUAAUUUUUUAAUGACUCAUUCGGCGCCUUACG
rnacentral:rRNA from 1 species